GUCUUCAGCUGCUAGUUGCUUGAUUGGGUUAAUGAGCAUGUGUGGUGGGACAUGCCCCUAGCUGGUAAGGGGCAACCUGUCAGAGGGGGCUGUCUACAUGUGAUGCAGAUAGUGCUAAUACCACCCCUCUGAUGGGUUUGGAAGAGAGUGGAAGCCAAACACUACCAGAAGCUGCCUCUUACGGAUUUAUUUAGUGUGCCAUGGCUCUUGGCUCUCUCUUCUGUGGCAGUCUUACUCUGGGAUGCUGAAUAGAGAUGAAUGAGCUGUCAUGUCACACCAUGAAUUGUUAACUUGUCCUUUGAACAGUGGUCAGUGUAAAGAAGUUAACAGGAGAUUAUCAGUCAAACAAGGAUUAUCUCUAUCCAUCAGGAUACUGCUUCAUGUUACACCUUUCCUUCACAGGGAUAUAUUGGAGUAGCUUACUGGUACGUACUGUGAAUUUAAAACACAUUCUCUUAAGAGUAAAUAUAAUUGUGUUUACAUUUUUU
rnacentral:lncRNA from 1 species